rfam:Pteropus alecto contig69402, whole genome shotgun sequence.
GAGAUCACUUUGGUAGCACAUUUACUAAAAUUGAAAUGAUAGAGAAAAUUCGCACGGCUCCAGUACAAGGAAGACACACAAAUUUGUGAAGCAUUCCAUAUUUUU